rnacentral:rRNA from 1 species
AGGAUGAACGCUGGCGGCGUGCCUAAUACAUGCAAGUCGAGCGGUAAGGUCCCUUCGGGGAUACACGAGCGGCGGACGGCUGAGUAACACGUAGGAACGUACCCCAAAGUGAGGGAUAAGCACCAGAAAUGGUGUCUAAUACCGCAUGUGAUCUUCGGAUUAAAGCUCCGGCGCUUUGGGAACGGCCUGCGCAUGAUUAGCUUGUUGGUGAGGUAAUGGCUCACCAAGGCGAUGAUCAUUAGCUGGUCUGAGAGGAUGACCAGCCAGACUGGAACUGAGAACGGUCCAGACUCCUACGGGAGGCAGCAGUAGGGAAUUUUCCACAAUGGACGAAAGUCUGAUGGAGCAACGCCGCGUGCAGGAUGAAGGCUCUAGGGUCGUAAACUGCUUUUAUAUGUGACGAUUAUGACGGUAGCAUAUGAAUAAGGAUCGGCUAACUCCGUGCCAGCAGCCGCGGU